UCGGACUGUAGUCUGCAACCGACUACACGAAGCUGGAAUCGCUAGUAAUCGCGGAUCAGAAUGCCGCGGUGAAUACGUUCCCGGGUCUUGUACACACCGCCGUCACACCAUGGGAGUCAGUAACGCCCGAAGUCAGUGACCCAACCUAUCAGGAGGGAGCUGCCGAAGGUGGGACCGAUAACUGGGGUGAAGUCGUAACAAGGUAAC
rnacentral:rRNA from 1 species